AUUGAACGCUGGCGGCAUGCCUUACACAUGCAAGUCGAACGGUAACAGGUCUUCGGAUGCUGACGAGUGGCGAACGGGUGAGUAAUACAUCCGAACGUGCCCGACCGUGGGGGAUAACGAGGCUAAAGCUUUGCUAAUACCGCAUACGAUCUACGGAUGAAAGCGGGGGAGCUUCGGACCUCGCGCGGACGGAGCGGCCGAUGGCAGAUUAGGUAGUUGGUGGGAUAAAAGCUUACCAAGCCGACGAUCUGUAGCUGGUCUGAGAGGAUGAUCAGCCACACUGGGACUGAGACACGGCCCAGACUCCUACGGGAGGCAGCAGUGGGGAAUUUUGGACAAUGGGCGAAAGCCUGAUCCAGCCAUGCCGCGUGCAGGAUGAAGGCCUUUGGGUUGUAAACUGCUUUUGUACGGAACGAAAAGCCUCUUUCUAAUAAAGAGGGGUCAUGACGGUACCGUAAGAAUAAGCACCGGCUAACUACGUG
rnacentral:rRNA from 1 species